rnacentral:rRNA from 1 species
GGUAAAGCCGGGCGAGCAGCGGGGGUAAAACGGAGGGGGCAAGCGUUAUCCGGAGUUAUUGGGUUUAAAGGGUCCGUAGGCGGACGUAUAAGGCAGUGGUGAAAGCCUGUCGCGUAACGAUAGAACUGCCAUUGAUACUGUAAGUCUUGAGUAUAUUUGAGGUAGCUGGAAUAAGUAGUGUAGCGGUGAAAUGCAUAGAUAUUACUUAGAACACCAAUUGCGAAGGCAGGUUACCAAGAUAUAACUGACGCUGAGGGACGAAAGCGUGGGGAGCGAACAGGAUUAGAUACCCUUGUAGUC